ensembl:snoRNA SNORA74 Small nucleolar RNA SNORA74
CCCAGCUGUAGGCAGCAGCCUAGGUUGCCUGGUACCUGGGCAAGUGUUACACAGCUGGGAGAAAAAGCUGCCAGUAGCUGGGGGCAUUCUGAGACUGAUUAAUGGCAAAUUUGUGUUAAUUAUGCCAGUGUACCGGCAUA